rnacentral:rRNA from 1 species
AUACGGAGGAUGCGAGCGUUAUCCGGAUUUAUUGGGUUUAAAGGGAGCGUAGGUGGGAUAUUAAGUCAGCUGUGAAAGUUUGGGGCUCAACCUUAAAAUUGCAGUUGAUACUGGUUUCCUUGAGUACGGUACAGGUGGGCGGAAUUCGUGGUGUAGCGGUGAAAUGCUUAGAUAUCACGAAGAACUUCGAUUGCGAAGGCAGCCUGCUGGACUGUAACUGACGCUGAUGCUCGAAAGUGUGGGUAUCAAACAGGAUUAGAUACCCUGGUAGGCCACACAGUAAACGAUGAAUACUCGCUGUUUGCGAUAUACAGUAAGCGGCCAAGCGAAAGCGUUAAGUAUUCCACCUGGGGAGUACGCCGGCAACGGUGAAACUCAAAGGAAUUGACGGGG